rnacentral:rRNA from 1 species
UACAGAGGGUGCAAGCGUUAAUCGGAAUUACUGGGCGUAAAGCGUGCGCAGGCGGUGAUGUAAGACCGAUGUGAAAUCCCCGGGCUUAACCUGGGAACUGCAUUGGUGACUGCAUCGCUCGAGUAUGGCAGAGGGGGGUAGAAUUCCACGUGUAGCAGUGAAAUGCGUAGAGAUGUGGAGGAAUACCGAUGGCGAAGGCAGCCCCCUGGGUCAAUACUGACGCUCAUGCACGAAAGCGUGGGGAGCAAACAGG